rnacentral:lncRNA from 1 species
GGCCUUUCUAGGAGCCAGCUUGCUUUCAUCUUACUGUUUUGAUUGUGCCUCACAAGGGACAACACUCCGAUUGUCUAGGAGGAGGAAGGUCAGGGACAGAAAAGUAAAAGCCAGGAGCAGCCUGUCCUGUCUGCCUGGGCUGCUGGGGAAUGAUUGUCAGUGAAUCGAGUUGUCUGUGGAGCCCCUGAGCAAAUUCUCCCAGUGGCAGCAGAUCUCGCAAAAGGGGAGGAAGGCCUUCACCGCUGAACCCGAGCUUUGCCAUUUCGAAGUGCUGAGUCACCUCGUCCUCUCAGGGUCAGACACUUUCACGCAGGAAACGUCCUGCAGAGCACCGCAGCGGGAGCACCGAGCUGGGUGGUAAUUUAUUCUAGAACCGAUGUGCCAGCGUUUCCUUCUGUGUGCUUUGAGUAGGAGCAGGAACAACGGAUCUCUCCAAGCAUGGGCAGACGGAGAGCUGCAACCCUUGGACCAACCAACGCCUGCCAGUGGGCGCCUGCAUCCCACGCCUGCAUCCCGCGUGCAGGCUACUGGCAGGUGCUCUGUGUCUCACUCCAUCUUUACCUGCCCUGUAAAGGAGGAACUGUUGUUUUUAGUCUCCUGGAGCAGCCGCGCCUUCCCACAGCACUCAGACUUGAGGAAGCUUAAGAAGCUGAGACCAGAGAGGGCGAUGUCCACCUUGGUGACGAAGCACUCUAGAGGCUGCCGCCACACUUAAAAAGUGACCAGUCACCAACAACUCAUCUUAAGUACAGGAAGAAUGCCAGCAGCUGAAUGAAAUUCUUGCUUUCCCUGGUGAACAACGAAGGGGAAGGGAAUGGAGUGUGGUGAAAGAGAGGGCAGAAAGGCUGCCAGUGUCCUCUUCAUCCCUGCCCCACCCCCACCCCCACCCCCCAGCACAGAGAGACCCGGGAAGAUUUCAAAUCUUUCCUUUAAGUGGCGGCUAAGGACAAAAUGAAAUGACUUAGCCACCUAUCAUGGUCUUUACUGAGUUAUAUCCAUGGAUAUAAGAUAAUUUGGCAUCUAAAAAACAAAGACAGGGCCAGUAAAAUGGCUCACUGGGUAAAGGUGCCCGCUGCCAAGCCAGAGCACCUGGGUUUGGUCCUUGGAACUCACACGGUGGGGAGAACAGAUCCCUUCAUGCUGUGUGCUGAUGCCCACAUGCAUGUUAGGAAAACACUUCCAGCCCCCUAAACUAACUUUUUCUAUUCCGUACUCUGCCUGUGACUAGACCUGGAAGGAGAGAACAAGGGCCUUCCUGAGGCAGGACAAGGACCCAGAACUACCCAGAAUGCAGCAGGGCGGCCCCGCACGACUGAGCUCUGAUCCUAACCUGCAAAGUGAAGUUUCAAUUUCCACUUCCUGAGAAGGUCAGGUGUAUAGGUGUGAACCAAGUGCACGUCUAGUUCCCUUGGAGGCCAGAAAGAAGGCGGUGUCAGAUCCCCAGGAACCAUAGUUACAGAUGGUUGAUGUGGAAACUCAGAGAGGAUGCCACUGUUUUGAACUAUUUUGAAGGCACAGCCACCAGAGCUUUAGGUGAGUGACUCUAUGCUUAUAGGCCCAAAUGUAUCUUCACCCCCUCUCACUCCCUGCGCUGUACAGUUUCCCAUUACCCAACAUGCACUUCUGUUAGCAGCUGACUCUUUCCUAAACCUAUUCCUCCAGGGACUUACUUAGCUAGACAACCAGCUUUUCAGUUUCUUCCUUAUUUUCCUACCUAACUUUAUUAAAUUAAAUUGUUUAUUUUUUGAGACAGGGUCUCACCUUGUAGCCCUGAAUGACUUGGAAUUUGCUGUGUAGACCAGGUUGGCUUUGAACUCACAAUUCUCCAUCUGCCUCUGUUCCCAAAUGCUGGGAUUAACAGUCUAUGUCACACAUACCUAGUCUUCCUUCCUAGCUUUCUAUUUUCAGGAAAUGUCUCUUGGGACUCAGUCUAUCAAGACAGGGGUGGAAGUGGAGCUGGCCAGUGGAGUGUUGGGACAAAGCUCUGAGUGGAGCCCUCGAGUUUAAAACGGAAUCUUAGAGAGGACGUGUUUACUCCUGCAUUAUAGAGCACGGACGCUCAUGACUCAGUUUGAUUUUCAUACACCGUUCUGCUCAUCACUGCCAAGUGGAGCAAUCCAGGCCUCUCAAAAUGUGCCAUACUACCUUCCAGCUAAAAGCUUUCUGUGGGGCUGGCGAGAUGGCUCAGCGGGUAAGAGCACCCGAUUGCUCUUCCGAAGGUCCAGAGUUCAAAUCCCAG